rnacentral:rRNA from 1 species
CACGUAGGCGGAUAUUUAAGUCAGGGGUGAAAUCCCAGAGCUCAACUCUGGAACUGCCUUUGAUACUGGGUAUCUUGAGUAUGGAAGAGGUAAGUGGAAUUCCGAGUGUAGAGGUGAAAUUCGUAGAUAUUCGGAAGAACACCAGUGGCGAAGGCGACACACUGGCUCAUUACUGACGCUGAGGCUCGGAAGCGUGGGGAGCAAACA